rnacentral:lncRNA from 1 species
UUAAUGGACUAGGCAUCUGGCUUAGCACAGAGAAUGUGGCACCAGAUUUGUGAAAUGGAGUGAGAAAAACUGAUAUGAUAGUGGCUGCCUUCAGAGUUUUCCUAGGGAAGGAAUAUACUUUUAAUCAGCAUUUGGGGUAAAAGGCAAAGGGACAAGAAUUAAGGAGAAAAGGAAAAGGGGGAGGGAAAGGGAGGGCAAAUUAGCUGGCAAAAGCAUGAGAAAUAGAGAUAAGAUGGUAGCAGGUUUGGUGUCUGUGUUGGCAGAAAAGGGCAGAGAGAUUUUUUAAAAAGUCAAUAUUCACUUAGAAAUAUGUAAAAUAUUAUAAUAUAAUAUAAUGUCCUUCCAUGUUACUUUAAAAUUGUUAGUGAAACUUCACAAAAUAGAAUUGUCAACUAUGAAAGGCAUCAUUUGACUGGGGGUCUAGAAGUCAUGAAGAAGGGGCUGUCCCCUUCUUUGGUUUCAGGCCAAAGGGAAAUGAUUAAAGAAAAGCCACAGGAAAGAGUGGAGAAUGAGAAAUACAGAAAAUUCUGGAAAUCAGAACCAGGGAUGACUGGGAAAAACAUAAGUCCCAGAGGAAUUUUAGAAGUUGUGGGGGAAGUGGCACUGGAUGUUCCUUAGGAUCUGGGUUGGGGAUUCAAGUGAUUUCAUCUAAGCGUUAAAGGACAAGUCCAGGGGGAUGCAUGACCAUGUUAAGGGACAUUUCCAGAGGGCAGACUAUUUCUUCCCCAAACGGCAGCCUGGACUCUCCAUGAAAGGCGUAACUCGGAGACUGUGGGUUUGGUUCCAGAAUACGACAAUG